rnacentral:antisense_RNA from 1 species
GCUUCAAAUUGGAUGGCACUGCAGCUGGAGGCUUUGUUCAGAAUUGAUCCUGGGGAGCUACGAACCCAAAGUUUCACAGUAGGAAGGGGGAAAAAAGAAAAGAAAACAUUUUUCCUAAUGUAACAAUGCGAAUGCUAGAAAAUGACAAGACUGAUCGGUUUUAAACCAUUCUGAAGACUGACUGAGCGUGGAAGUUGCUCAACAAAAAAAGGAACGGGUAUAUUGACAGAGUCUUGCUCUAUUGCCCAGGCUGCAACUGGUGUGAUCUUGGCUCACUACAACCUCUGCCUCCUGGGUUCAAGCGAUUCUCCUGCCUCAAGCUCCCAAGUAGCUGGGAUUACAAGCAUGCACCACCAUGCCUGGCUAAUUUUUGUAUUUUUAGUGGAGACGGGGUUUCGCCACAUUGGCCAGGGUGGUCUUGAACUCCUGACCUCAAGUGAUCCACCUGCCUUGGCCUCCCAAAGUGCUGGGAUUAUAAGCAUGAGCCACUGCACCCAGCCUUAUACUGAACUUUCAAUGGGUUCAAUUCCACUAGGAGCAUAAAGGCCACUGCAUAUGAGUUGUGGAAAGAAGAGAUUAGAAGAAGGAAGAACUUGAGAUGAGUUCCUCCCUUCAACAUUCUGUCUCCUCCUACCUAGCAUCUUCUUUCUUUUAGUCUUUCUAGAAUGUCCAUCUGUUUUUGGCCAUUGCGGAAAGAGAAGCUGAGCUUUAAAGGCGUAGGAGCUUCAAAGGCGUAGGAGCUUCAAAAUUCUUGUUUCUUCAUGUUUGAUCACCCUUCUAAACCUGUCUUCUGUUCCUUCUGCUAUUCUUUUUUCUUAGAGCAUAGGAAAGGGGAGCUUUUAAGUUAAUACUUAAAGCAUGGAAAAAAAGAACUUGAGAAGAAAGUAAAACAAGGGAGAUGAGGCUAGUAAAGUAAGGAAAAUGAAGAGGAAGAGGAGGAAGGGUUAGCUUCUAAAUUCCAAGUCAAAUUGAUAUGGAACAGGCAAGCCUCUUGUCUUACUUAAACUUCAGAAAAGGAUCUGCUGAAACUUGAUAGAAAUGGAAAGGGAAAUCCUUGGGGUGGGGAACCUCCAAACAUUAGUAAUGAUAUUGAACAACUCAGAGUAUUGAGGAAAUCUGCAGGCUACAUGCCUGAAGAUUACCCAUGCAGAUAGACCAAAAGGAUUAGAAUUAUCUGUUGAUAUUAGUAAUAUUUAUUGACAUCUAGCUAGUAUUGGUAAUUUUAAGUUUUAGAUUAAUUUCUUUGGUAAUAGCUAUGAUAUAUUUUAUAGACAAGAAUUAUAUCUAUAGGCUUGCUAUCAUAGGCUCUUUUAAUCAGCAUUAAUUUAGUCUACUGAUUUUUAGCACAU